rnacentral:rRNA from 1 species
AUUGAACGCUGGCGGCAUGCUUUACACAUGCAAGUCGAACGGUAACAGGCCGCAAGGUGCUGACGAGUGGCGAACGGGUGAGUAAUGCAUCGGAACGUGCCCAGUCGUGGGGGAUAACGCAGCGAAAGCUGCGCUAAUACCGCAUACGAUCUAUGGAUGAAAGCGGGGGACCGUAAGGCCUCGCGCGAUUGGAGCGGCCGAUGUCAGAUUAGGUAGUUGGUGGGGUAAAGGCUCACCAAGCCAACGAUCUGUAGCUGGUCUGAGAGGACGACCAGCCACACUGGGACUGAGACACGGCCCAGACUCCUACGGGAGGCAGCAGUGGGGAAUUUUGGACAAUGGGCGCAGGCCUGAUCCAGCAAUGCCGCGUGCAGGAAGAAGGCCUUCGGGUUGUAAACUGCUUUUGUACGGAACGAAACGGUCCUGGUUAAUACCUGGGGCUAAUGACGGUACCGUAAGAAUAAGCACCGGCUAACUACGUGCCAGCAGCCGCGGUAAUAC